CAUUACCGAGUUUACAACUCCCAAACCCUUAUGUGAACCGUACCUAUCGUUGCUUCGGCGGGAACGCCCCGGCGCCCUGCGCCCGGAUCCAGGCGCCCGCCGGAGACCCCAAACUCUUGUGUUUUUUUCAGUAUUCUCUGAGUGGCAAACGCAAAAAUAAAUCAAAACUUUUAACAACGGAUCUCUUGGCUCUGGCAUCGAUGAAGAACGCAGCGAAAUGCGAUAAGUAAUGUGAAUUGCAGAAUUCAGUGAAUCAUCGAAUCUUUGAACGCACAUUGCGCCCGUUAGCAUUCUAGCGGGCAUGCCUGUCCGAGCGUCAUUUCAACCCUCAGGGUCCCCGUUCCGGCGGGGAACCUGGUGUUGGGGAUCGGCCCGCCCCGUGCGGCGCCGUCCCCCAAAUUCAGUGGCGGUCUCGCUGCAGCCUCCCCUGCGUAGUAGUUACAACCUCGCAUCGGAGCUCAGCGCGGCCACGCGGUAAAACCCCCGACUUU
rnacentral:rRNA from 1 species